ensembl:snoRNA Gm23991 predicted gene, 23991
UAACCCCCAUGAUGUCCAGCACUGGGCUCUGACCACCCUGAUGGUGUGUUGCGUGACCCCGGGACCUUUGACUCCGGGCUUCUGAGGGGUUU